UGUGUAGGCGGUUCUUUAAGUUUGGUGUGAAAUCUCCCGGCUCAACCGGGAGGGUGCGCCGAAUACUGAGGGACUAGAGUGCGGGAGAGGAAAGUGGAAUUCCUGGUGUAGCGGUGAAAUGCGUAGAUAUCAGGAGGAACACCGGUGGUGUAGACGGCUUUCUGGACCGUAACUGACGCUGAAACACGAAAGCGUGGGUAGCAAACAGGGAUUAGAUACCCUGGUAGUCCACGCCCUAAACGAUGCAUAUUUGGUGUGGGUCAUUCAGUUGAUCCGUGCCGGAGCUAACGCGUUAAAUAUGCCGCCUGGGGGAGUACAGUCGCAAGGCUGAAA
rnacentral:rRNA from 1 species